rnacentral:rRNA from 1 species
AUUGAACGCUGGCGGCAUGCCUAACACAUGCAAGUCGAACGGUAACGCGGGGGCAACCCUGGCGACGAGUGGCGGACGGGUGAGUAAUACGUAGGAAUCUGCCCAUUUGUGGGGGGAUAACCCGGCGAAAGCCGGGCUAAUACCGCAUACGCUCUACGGAGGAAAGCGGGGGAUCGUAAGACCUCGCGCUAAUGGAUGAGCCUACGUCGGAUUAGCUAGUUGGUAGGGUAACGGCCUACCAAGGCGACGAUCCGUAGCUGGUCUGAGAGGACGAUCAGCCACACUGGGACUGAGACACGGCCCAGACUCCUACGGGAGGCAGCAGUGGGGAAUAUUGGACAAUGGGGGCAACCCUGAUCCAGCAAUGCCGCGUGUGUGAAGAAGGCCU